GCCUGGGUGGCUCAGUUGGUUAAGCGACUGACUUCGGCUCAGGUCAUGAUCUUGCAGUUUGUGGGUUCAAGCCCCGCAUCAGGCU
rnacentral:tRNA from 1 species